AGUGAACGCUGGCGGUAGGCCUAACACAUGCAAGUCGAACGGCAGCACAGUAAGAGCUUGCUCUUACGGGUGGCGAGUGGCGGACGGGUGAGGAAUACAUCGGAAUCUACUUUUUCGUGGGGGAUAACGUAGGGAAACUUACGCUAAUACCGCAUACGACCUACGGGUGAAAGCAGGGGCUCUUCGGACCUUGCGCGAUUGAAUGAGCCGAUGCCGGAUUAGCUAGUUGGCGGGGUAAAGGCCCACCAAGGCGACGAUCCGUAGCUGGUCUGAGAGGAUGAUCAGCCACACUGGAACUGAGACACGGUCCAGACUCCUACGGGAGGCAGCAGUGGGGAAUAUUGGACAAUGGGCGCAAGCCUGAUCCAGCCAUACCGCGUGGGUGAAGAAGGCCUUCGGGUUGUAAAGCCCUUUUGUUGGGAAAGAAAAGCAGCAGGUUAAUACCCCGCUGUUCUGACGGUACCCAAAGAAUAAGCACCGGCUAACUUCGUG
rnacentral:rRNA from 1 species